AAUAGUGCAGGCUUGUAGCACUGCUAUUUAGCCCUAGGAAGCAUCAACGUUUCCUGUCAGCCUUGACGCAUUUCCUGUAUCCUUAUGUUUACAAGGGGGAGAUAAGCACCCCCACCCAGCUAAGCCUGCAUCCAGAGACUAGUUUCUGAGUCAUUGCUCAUCAUCAGUCUAGAGUAGCAUGGCCUGC